rnacentral:rRNA from 1 species
CUACGGGACGCAGCAGUGGGGAAUAUUGCGCAAUGGAGGAAACUCUGACGCAGCCAUGCCGCGUGAGUGACGAAGGCCUUAGGGUUGUAAAGCUCUUUCAGACGUGAUGAUGAUGACAGUAGCGUCAAAAGAAGUUCCGGCUAACUUCGUGCCAGCAGCCGCGGUAAUACGAAGGGAACUAGCGUUGUUCGGAUUUACUGGGCGUAAAGAGCGCGUAGGCGGAUUGGUCAGUUGGGGGUGAAAGCCCGGAGCUCAACUCCGGAACUGCCUUCAAUACUGCCAGUCUAGAGUCCGUAAGGGGGUGGUGGAAUUCCGAGUGUAGAGGUGAAAUUCGUAGAUAUUCGGAGGAACACCAGUGGCGAAGGCGACCACCUGGUACGGUACUGACGCUGAGGUGCGAAAGCGUGGGGAGCAAACAGGAUUAGAUACCCCCGUAGUC